CAUAUACUGUAGAUACAGAAAGACACGCAUGCCAAAACCUUCCCGCUCCAGCAUGUUCACACGACUACUUUCUCUCUGGGUGACUGGGGCUUUGCUGCUGCCCCUGAGCUGUGGCAGUGAAGAUGAGGAUGUGACACCGACAUCAAAUUAUGACUACGAUUAUGAGAAUGCGACUUUAGACUACUAUACCUACAAUCCUGAAAGUUACGAAGUUCUCAAUGUUGCAAAAAAUAAGGACUCAGUGCAAGUGUUUAGAUGCGAUCUGAUAUUAUCUGGACUGCUGGUCAUUCUAGUCUGCCAACAGACAUGAACAAGACAUUCAAAUGUGGACAAAAAAGCUGCUGAUGAAGGCUCAGAACACCCGCUCACUGUCUGCACGAGUUCAUUUUCACUCUAUUAUUGAAAUCAUCUUAUAAUGAAUGUAUCCUUUACAUCUGACUUUAAAUAAGCACAGAGUUUGGACACGAGGUUGUACUAUAUCCAUGUCAUUACCUAAAGCGUUUCAGCUCUUUGAAAAAAAUAACAAUCAAAUAAAACUCUUGUUUAAGUAACUAGAACUGUGAUUGUUCAGAUUGUUCACAUUGAAUGAAUUGCUUAAAAGCAUUGUUGGAAAAAUGCAUCAAAAGCAGUAAUGUGAAAUUGUGUCAUGUAAAUGUUUUACUCCUGACCGUUUUACAUCUGACAGUCAAACCACAUACAAUCACAAAUAACAUUCAGAUCCCAGUACACCACUCUCAAAAUGAGUGUCGGCCGGCCUAAUGCAUGACAUCUAACUGUCUCAAUAAACCAAGACGAACAGACUUUCAAUAUUCUUGUCUUAGGGGCAGUUGUGGCCUAAUGGUUAGAGCGUCGGACUCGUGACCAGAAGGUUGCCGGUUCGAUUCCCAGGGCCGGCGGGUAACGACUGAGGUUGUUAGGCAAGGCACCUUACCCCUACUUGCUCCCGGGGCGCUGCAGUGAUAGCUGCCCACUGCUCCGGGUGUACGUGCGUGUGUUCACUACUCUCUGGACGGGUUAAAUGCAGAGGUCACAUUUCGGGUCGAAUCUGUAACAUGUAUUAUUUACACACGUGGCAAGUAACCGUGCAACAAGCAGGAUAAUGUCCAUCCAGCCGGUUCUUAUUGAAAAAAACCUUCACCAGAUGAACGUACAGUAAAUGAUCUCCAAGGUUUAUAGAAUACUGAUCUAACGGCUCCUUAGAAUUUAAAACAUUGAAAAGAUUAAACCCACAGCAAGAAAAUGGUCUGCACAUGUUCUGGUAGGGGUUUUAAUGUAACAUAACAAAAUCCUUCUGGUCCCAUUUAUGAUUAUGUUUUUUUCUUUAAACGCCCUGGUUUAACAUGGAAUGUUUUACCUUCACUGUGGUGUACAUAAUGUUUAUAUAAAAAAUCUGACAAUAUAUAUUGUUGUGUUUGAUGCACAUGCUAAAAAGGGACUGAGAAAGAGUUUGUAUAUGUCCUUUCACCGUGAACCCAUAAAGUAUGACAUGCAUGAUUUGAUUGUUAAAGGUCUCCAGAAAAAGCAGGAGAAAAUCAGGAUCAAGGAAGAGAAGAAGACCAAGCGUAGAACAAAACCGUCGGAAAUCAACGAGUGAUUUCCAAAGAUACAGAAAUGAUAAGGUUGAUUCAUCAGCAAGAACGUAUCAAUAAGAAAUUGCUGAGGCUUGCAAGGGGAAUAUUCAUAGAUGAUAACCUUUGUUCAACUUCAGAAGUGACCACAGCUGAGCUUAACUCGGUUUCGCCGGAGGAGUUAGCGCUGGCUGUUGAUUUGAAUUGUACUCGGUAAAACGGCUUAUGCUUCUGCAACAUAUAGAUUUGCAGGCUGUUGUUUUGACACCUCCACUCCACUAAGAAUAGGGGUGAAGAGGUCAACAGUUAAACUUAGGUGUUAGAAAUGUAAAGGGUGUGAAGCCUUCCCCAUGUAUAUGUUUUUAAAUGGGGAGGAAAUAAAUGUCAACUGCCACAAACUCGAAAUGUUUCCAGUGUGGUUAAAGGUGUUGUUCCUAUAGCAUGCUGUCCAGUGGCGGUUCUAGACAACUGUAACUGGGGGGGCCAGGCAGGGGCCACUUAUGCUUUUAGGGGGCACACUAACAUGUGUCAUGAUUCAUUUUCCAUCAUUUUUCACUGUCAUGUAUUACUGUUUUCUAUAGAAGUAAACUAAUAAGCUAAUAAAACAAGUUCAGCUCAAA